ACAUGCAGUCGAACGAUGAUGCCCAGCUUGCUGGGUGGAUUAGUGGCGAACGGGUGAGUAACACGUGAGUAACCUGCCCCUGACUCUGGGAUAAGCGUUGGAAACGACGUCUAAUACUGGAUAUGAUCACUGGCCGCAUGGUCUGGUGGUGGAAAGAUUUUUUGGUUGGGGAUGGACUCGCGGCCUAUCAGCUUGUUGGUGAGGUAAUGGCUCACCAAGGCGACGACGGGUAGCCGGCCUGAGAGGGUGACCGGCCACACUGGGACUGAGACACGGCCCAGACUCCUACGGGAGGCAGCAGUGGGGAAUAUUGCACAAUGGGCGAAAGCCUGAUGCAGCAACGCCGCGUGAGGGAUGACGGCCUUCGGGUUGUAAACCUCUUUUAGUAGGGAAGAAGCGAAAGUGACGGUACCUGCAGAAAAAGCACCGGCUAACUACGUGCCAGCAGCCGCGGUAAUACGUAGGGUGCAAGCGUUGUCCGGAAUUAUUGGGCGUAAAGAGCUCGUAGGCGGUUUGUCGCGUCUGCUGUGAAAUCCCGAGGCUCAACCUCGGGCUUGCAGUGGGUACGGGCAGACUAGAGUGCGGUAGGGGAGAUUGGAAUUCCUGGUGUAGCGGUGGAAUGCGCAGAUAUCAGGAGGAACACCGAUGGCGAAGGCAGAUCUCUGGGCCGUAACUGACGCUGAGGAGCGAAAGCAUGGGGAGCGAACAGGAUUAGAUACCCUGGUAGUCCAUGCCGUAAACGUUGGGCGCUAGAUGUAGGGACCUUUCCACGGUUUCUGUGUCGUAGCUAACGCAUUAAGCGCCCCGCCUGGGGAGUACGGCCGCAAGGCUAAAACUCAAAGGAAUUGACGGGGGCCCGCACAAGCGGCGGAGCAUGCGGAUUAAUUCGAUGCAACGCGAAGAACCUUACCAAGGCUUGACAUACACCGGAAACGGCCAGAGAUGGUCGCCCCCUUGUGGUCGGUGUACAGGUGGUGCAUGGUUGUCGUCAGCUCGUGUCGUGAGAUGUUGGGUUAAGUCCCGCAACGAGCGCAACCCUCGUUCUAUGUUGCCAGCGGGUUAUGCCGGGGACUCAUAGGAGACUGCCGGGGUCAACUCGGAGGAAGGUGGGGAUGACGUCAAAUCAUCAUGCCCCUUAUGUCUUGGGCUUCACGCAUGCUACAAUGGCCGGUACAAAGGGCUGCGAUACCGUAAGGUGGAGCGAAUCCCAAAAAGCCGGUCUCAGUUCGGAUUGAGGUCUGCAACUCGACCUCAUGAAGUCGGAGUCGCUAGUAAUCGCAGAUCAGCAACGCUGCGGUGAAUACGUUCCCGGGCCUUGUACACACCGCCCGUCAAGUCAUGAAAGUCGGUAACACCCGAAGCCGGUGGCCUAACCCUUGUGGAAGGAGCCGUC
rnacentral:rRNA from 1 species